ensembl:lincRNA
AUGUGGGCUGGGGGGACAGGCGGUGAGGCGGUGGGGUGGGGGUGGUGCCAGGCCUUCAAGGUCAAACCGUUGCAGUCAGCCGUUAGAACUGCGUUCGAGCGCGGGCCCCAAAUCCCGGGACACGCAGGUCGCGGGCGGGCGGCGCUGGCCCCCGAGCUCUCUUCCCGCGGGAUCUCGGGCCGGCGUGAGGUGGAGCCAGCUUGGGCCGGGUAUUCCCUGGCGCUGCUUGCCCGCCAGUGCGGGAAGCUGUUGCGACAGACGGGCGGAGGCCCCUUAGACUCCGGUUGGAUCUGGUGUGCUGUCCCCCGCCCCAUGCCGCGCGCGAGCCGGCUCCUGUGGGCUCGGUGCUCCUCAAGCGCCGGCAUGCCGCCCUGGGCUUGCACGCGAAGUCACCCGGUAUAUCCCGCGGGUGCUGAAUGAAUGAGUUCUCCGGGGCCCGCUGUCUCUGGGUCCUGCGCCAGGCCGAGAGCUGGAGGCAGGAAGGAGAUGUCGAAAUGGGGCGGGAUGGUUCAGAGAUGACAGGUGGAGAGGCCGGUCUGGAGACAGCUGCCAAACAGCACAGAAAGUACGGCGACUGUGGAGAAGCUCGGACAGAACAGCUUCUCCCGGCACUUACGCGCUGAUGACCACCACUGCCUGGGGUGAUUGCCUUUUGUGAUAAGAUCGCUGUUCUUCCCCAGCGGGGCGGCCCGAGUCUGAGAGCCGCACUCACUGGUUUGUGCCGGCGAUUCCCAGCCGGGAGCACCACCUCCUGGGCGGUGACGUUGCGCGGGAGCUGCACGGGGGCUGCUGGCGCGGUUGAGGAACGCAGAACUCGCCGCUUCUCCGUCGUCCUUGCUUCGGUAUCCCUUCUCGGGAGUGUGUUUGCACAAGCCUCCCCCGUUUCCAGCUCGGUUCUUAACUACCUAUUUUUCCGAGAUGACGAUGCAGUUGUGAACUUUUCCAUCUCGUUAUAGCUUUUAAGGAAGAGGCUUUCUUUUUUUCUUUAAAGCUUAGUCCUUCUUUGACUAAGGACUGGUUUGGUUUGGUUUGGUUUUGACUGUUUGAUUCAUCUAUUCUCUUCCUCCUCAGCAAUGGUUAAUAAUCUUUGGGCCUGGACCUUUGUGAAAGUAACGAAACUACAGAUCCUCUUCCCUCCACUUCCCACCCGCCGUGCACACACCACCUAGGGGGCCAUAAACUUUUAGGUUAAAAACCCUUCUCUACAUCUCUCUCCUCUAGCUCGCUUCCCUUGAGAAAUGAAUAGAUCUCCCCAAAAGAUAAACCACUCAAUCCUGCUAGAGAACUAAUUCCUUCUACUGCCAAACUACUGCAGUAAUGAGCUAUACCUGCUGUAUCCUUUCUCUCCUUAAUCCCCACAUUUAAAUUUUAAAAAAAUUUUAUUUAUUUACUUGAGAGCGUGAGCAAGGGAGAGAACACGAGCAGGGGCAGAGGGAGAAGCACACUCCCCAUUGAGCAGGGAUCCCCUUGGGGGGCUCCAUCCCAGGACCUGACAUCACGACCUGGGCAGAAGGCAGAAACUUAACAGACUGAGCCACUCAGGUGCCCAACCCCAACAUUUUCACUCAUUUAUCCAGUGACCACAGAUGACCUUUCCAAAUGUAAUGGGUAUUAUUCUUAUUCCCUCCUGCCCCCACUGACUCAUCCCUCACUGAAAUAUUUUCCUCCCUAGGAACCACUCUAUUCUACAUUUUAGACUUCUCAAUUUUCUACAUUUCUCUAAACACCGAGGGGAAGCAUUGCUAAUGUUUUAAUGCUUUUUGUCAUCUUUAAUACCUUAGAGAACCUUACCAUUCCAAAUCUGUUUCCCCCAUUGGGCCUGUAUUUCCCUCCUCACAUACUACUACUUGUCUACUACUACUACUACUACUGCUGCUGUAUUUCCCUCCUCAUACUACUACUACUACCACUACACUACUACUAUUACACUACUACACUACUACUACUACUGCUACUGCUACUGUAUUUCCCUUACAUGCUACUUCUACUACUACUACUACUACUACUAAACUACUGCUGCUGCUGCUGCUGCUGCUGCUGCUUUUUAACUUAAACUUCAGUGGACAUACAGUGCAACAUUGGUUUCUGGAGUAGAAUUCAGUGAUGGAUCACUUACAACACCCAGUGCUCAUUGCCCACCUAGCCCACACCCACCCACGUCCCUCCAUCAGCCAUCAAUUUCUCUAUUAAGAGUGUCUUAUUGUGGGGUGCCUGAGUGGCUCAGUUGUUGGGCAUCUGCCUUCAGCUCAGGUCAUGAUCCAGGGUCCUGGGAUCGAGCCCCGCAUCAGGCUCCUGGCUCAGCGGCAAGCCUGCUUCUCCCUCUCCCACUCCCCACUUGUAUUCCCUCUCUAGAUGUCUCUUCUUCUCUGUCAAAUAAAAUUAAAAAAAAAAAAAGAGUGUCAUUGCUUGUUUCCCUCCUUUUUUUCUUUUCACCUUCCCAUAUGUUCAUCUGUUUUCUUUCUUAAAAUUCCACACCUGCGUGAGAUCAUACGGCAUUUGUCUUUCUCUGACUUAUUUCACUUAGCAUAAUACAGUCUGGCUCCAUCCAUGUCAUUGCAAAUGGCAUGGCGAGUAAUACUCCAUUGCAUAUACAAACCAUGUCUUUUUUUAUCCAUUCAUCAGCCAAUGGACAUUUGAGCUGUCUUCGUAGCUUGGCUAUUGUUAACAUGCUGCUAUAAACAUCCAGGGGCAUGUGUCCCAGCGAAUCUGUAUUUUUGUGUCCUUCAGGUAAAUAUUUAGUAGUGCAAUUGCUGAAUUGUAAGGUAGUUCUAUUUUUAACUUUUUGAGGAACCUCUGUGCUGUUCUCCAGAGUGGCUGCACCAGUUUGCAUUCCUACCAGGAGUGCAAGAGGGUUCCCCUUUCUCUGCAUCCUCACCAACACCUGUUGUUUCUUGUUAAUUUUAGCCAUGCUGACAGGUGUGAGACGGUAUCUCAUUUUGGUUUUGAUUAGAUUUUGCUGAUGAGUGAUGUUGAGCAUCUCUUCUUAGCCGUCUGGAUGUCUUUUUUGAAAAUCUGUCUAUUCAUGUCUUCUGCCCAUUUCAUAACUGGGUUUUUUGUUUUGGGGGGUUCAUUACAUACUUUUUUUUUUUUUAGAUUUUUAAAAAUUUAUUUGACAGAUCAUAAGCAGGCAGCGAGGCAGGCAG